UAUAUUUGCAGCUUCAAUGAAAAAAUUUCAUUGAAAUACAUAAUAAUCAUUUAAAGAAUAUUGGCAUG
ncrna:unclassified sequences S15-Flavobacteria ribosomal protein leader